GUUCAUAGAGAAACUCAUUGUCCAAACCUACGACGGCGCAGCUGUAAUGGAAUGUAUCUGCUAUUUGUAUUUACAGCUAAGUGCCCUGAUUAAGAGAUGAUGACCAUUCCACAACCAUUGUCAACUCUCUCCUGACAUGAACCGAAGCCAUGUCUCAUGUGCCCUCUCAUCCACUGGCACAUUGAAUGUUUCCUCUCCAAGCACUGCGAGUACCCCGAUCAAUUUUCUCUCAUUACUAUAUGUAGAGUCAAUCACAUACACAAUCACAUUAUUACACAUCAAUGAUUUUACUCCUUACUUGGACUAAAUCAUUCGUAGCUCUUUUGUCUGUGUUGUGUUAUUGUUUAUCUACCCAGUCAAAUCCUGUCCAGCACUGAAGUCAAGGCUCUGAACAGCUCAACUCAAGCCUCAUACCCUCAUUCAAUCACUGUGGUGAUCCCUUCCCAACACACCUCUCUGAUGGACUGUCUCCACCACCGUGCAACAAAUACUCAAAAUGUGAAUCUGAAGGAUGGCAACCUGAACCUGGGAUGGUGUGGCUGGACAGUAAAAGAGUCAAUCUCAAAUGUGAAAACUGUUCAAGGGUGCUGUCAGGAGAAACACUUUCACAUCCAAGGGUACAGAUGGACAGCAAGGAAAGGGCAGAUAGACCCAGAGAGACAUGCAUGUAAGAGAUGAACACUGACGCUUUAUACAUUAUCUGGAAAUAAUGGACAACUUGGUACAAGCCGUGUUUAUUAGUUCCAUAUAAUGUAGAGCGGAGGCGUUUAUCUCGCUUAUACCACUGUUGCCAAAGAAAACAAGCACACAUUUACUGGUAAAAUGUACAUGUUUUCAUUGAGAUUUUGACAAGUAAAUUCCUACUAUUUCAUCCUUUCACUAAACCUGGUUGUUCGUUAAAACUGUUAGAUUGCGAGAGAAGCGGAUUUGUUGUUCAUUCUAUUUGUUUGAUUCCUAUGCAGGCUGGCAAUGUUCUUAUCCCUUACUUGCUAGCUAGCCAACUACGGCUAACACAGUCACGUAAACUCUGCAGAUAGAAUAACAUCAGAAUUGAGUGGAUUUUGGCCCUUGCUGGGCUGAUUCUGGCCCUAAAAUGGCAGCUUUGGCUCAGUUCAGGCUGCCAGAUCUGGCCCAAAUGACUCAGGCCUAGUCUGUACAGUCACUCAGUUCGGACUUGGGCCGGAUCCGGCUGCCAGACCCGGGCCGGCAGUUUUAGAUCUGGUAUGCCGGAAUCAGGCCAGAUGUGGGCCAGACGUUUGUUUUACCUGGGAAGUAACCAUCGGUCUUAUGUGACCAUACCAAACCUUACAUAUCAUACUAAAAUGAAGUGUCUCAGACUUACAUACAGAAUAAUACAAAAUGCUCUGAGACCAGGUUAAAUAAAUAGACUAGGAUAUAGGGACAGUAUCUGUGCGUUAGAGAUGUCGAUGAUGCGCACAGAUACUGUAACAAGGGAAGGCCGACAAAUGCUAAAUCAUGCAUGAGCAUUGUUAUCCAAUAUGCACAGGCUCUGUAGUUGUCAAAAUUACAAUGUUUCCAUUUUCUAGGCUAUGGCUAGGAUCUAAAUAGCAGUUCCUUCUGCUCACUUUUUAUUUAUUUAACUAGGCAGUUAAGAACAAAUUCUUAUUUACAAUGACGGCCUAGGAACAGUGGAUUAACUGCCUUGUUCAGGGGCAGAACAACAGAUUUGUACCUUGUCAGCUCGGGGAUUUGAACUUGCAACCUUUCGGUUACUAGUCCAACGCUCCAUCCAUUAGGCAGGUAUCCCUGCCGCCUACUUAAGUAGGCUAACUGGGCUGCAACCUGUAGCCUUUACAGCGGUUGUUACACAUUAUCAAUCCACACAAUACUGACCUUUGCAGUGCAAGGAGAGAUAACUAAUAGCAAGCACCAAGGAACACACCAUUUUAAAAAAAGGGUUAGGGUUUAAAUCAAAUUAAACCUUUAUUUAACUAGGCAAGUCAGUUAAGAAAAAAUUCUUAUUUACAAUGAUGGCCUACCCCGGCCAAACCCUAACCAGGAUGACGCUGGGCCAAUUGUGCACCACCCUAUGGGCCCUCCCAAUCACGGCCGGUUGUGAUACAGCCUGGAAUCGAACCAGGGUCUGUAGUGAAGCCUCUAGCACUGAAUUGUCAACUAACGUGAAUUGAAUGUGAAAUCGACAAAAAAAUAUCACCAUGUAAUUGGAUUUAGGUUAAAAGUUGGGUAAAAAAAUUAAAAGAAAUUCCCUUUGUUUCACGUCAAUUCAAUGUCAUCACAUAUAUACAAAAUAAUAAUAACGUGGAACCAACGUUGAUUCAACUCGUUUUUGCCCAGUGG